AAUUAUAUAUAUAUACUCGUAUAUAUAAUCAAAUACCAUUAAAAAUACAUUUGUAAUAAAGCCUGAGAUGCUGUGGUCAUAGAUCCAUAUGAGGAAAACAGCGAAAUGCAUAAUUGCGGAAUGCUAAUCACGGAGGAAUAUGAAAAACGAAUGAGUGGCAGCGGAAGAGAUACAAGACAUAUAAAUUAUAGGAAAUACAGAUGUUUAAAACCAGGUGCUUCAAUGACCGAAUUUGGUAAAAUUGUCUGAGUCUUCCAUAAUUGGAAACCUGUGCAAUGUUUGGUUGCAAUAGUUGAGAUCUUUCCAAUAGCAGAACCGCGUAAAACUUAAGUACUUUACUGCUAUCAAUCAAUUGGUGAAGGCUCCUGAGAAAUGCAUGUAUUAGGCCUGUUACAAUGGGUAUGUUGUGUCCGCUGCCGUAACAUUUUGACUAACGUGACAUGGAAGAGGUGCCGGAAUGCCAAAAUGAAAAUUUUGCCGCAUAUAAACAAAACAAUAUUAAA